GAUGAACGCUGGCGGCGUGCUUAACACAUGCAAGUCGAACGGAGAAAGGGUAGCUUGCUAUCUUUUCUUAGUGGCGGACGGGUGAGUAACGCGUGGGUAACCUGCCCUUUGCAGGGGGAUAACAGUGAGAAAUCACUGCUAAUACCGCAUACCAACUUCUUUCGCAUGAAAGAAGUUUGAAAGAUUUAUCGGCAAAGGAUGGACCCGCGUUGGAUUAGCUAGUUGGUGAGAUAACAGCCCACCAAGGCAACGAUCCAUAGCCGGCCUGAGAGGGUGAACGGCCACACUGGGACUGAGACACGGCCCAGACUCCUACGGGAGGCAGCAGUGGGGAAUAUUGCACAAUGGGCGAAAGCCUGAUGCAGCGACGCCGCGUGAAGGAUGAAGGUCUUCGGAUUGUAAACUUCUAUCAGCAGGGAAGAAAGGGCCUAUGGCCUAUGACGGUACCUGACUAAGAAGCCCCGGUAACUACGUGCCAGCAGCCGACGGUAAAAGUCUA
rnacentral:rRNA from 1 species